ACCCUUUAAUGUUUGAUGUUCUAACGUGGACCCGUGAUCCGGGUUGCGGACAGUGUCUGGUGGGUAGUUUGACUGGGGCGGUCUCCUCCUAAAGAGUAACGGAGGAGCACGAAGGUUGGCUAAUCCUGGUCGGACAUCAGGAGGUUAGUGCAAUGGCAUAAGCCAGCUUGACUGCGAGCGUGACGGCGCGAGCAGGUGCGAAAGCAGGUCAUAGUGAUCCGGUGGUUCUGAAUGGAAGGGCCAUCGCUCAACGGAUAAAAGGUACUCCGGGGAUAACAGGCUGAUACCGCCCAAGAGUUCAUAUCGACGGCGGUGUUUGGCACCUCGAUGUCGGCUCAUCACAUCCUGGGGCUGAAGUAGGUCCCAAGGGUAUGGCUGUUCGCCAUUUAAAGUGGUACGCGAGCUGGGUUUAGAACGUCGUGAGACAGUUCGGUCCCUAUCUGCCGUGGGCGCUGGAGAACUGAGGGGGGCUGCUCCUAGUACGAGAGGACCGGAGUGGACGCAUCACUGGUGUUCGGGUUGUCAUGCCAAUGGCACUGCCCGGUAGCUAAAUGCGGAAGAGAUAAGUGCUGAAAGCAUCUAAGCACGAAACUUGCCCCGAGAUGAGUUCUCCCUGAGACUUUA
rnacentral:rRNA from 1 species